GACGAACGCUGGCGGCGUGCUUAACACAUGCAAGUCGAACGGAAAGGCCCUGCUUUUGUGGGGUGCUCGAGUGGCGAACGGGUGUGUAACACGUGAGUAACCUGCCCUUGACUUUGGGAUAACUUCAGGUAACUUGGGCUCUUACCCGUUAGGAGCUCCUGCUGCUUUGUUUGGUUUGGUUAGUUUCGGCGGUUGGGGAUCGUCUCGCGGCUUAUCAGCUUGUUGGUGGUGUAGUGGCUUACCAAGGCUUUGACGGGUAGCCGGCAUGAGAGGGUGAACGGCGAAAAGGGGACUGAGAAAGGGCGCAGACGGCAACGGGAGGCAGCAGAGGGGAAUAUGGCAGAAGGGGCGGAAGCCUGAUGCAGCAACGCGGGGGGCGGGAUAACGGACUACGGGUAGUAAAACGAUUUAGCAUGUGACGAAGAGAGAGUGACGGUAAUGGGUAAAGAAGCACCGGCUAACUACGUG
rnacentral:rRNA from 1 species